rnacentral:rRNA from 1 species
AGCGAACGCUGGCGGCAGGCCUAACACAUGCAAGUCGAACGAAGUCUUCGGACUUAGUGGCGGACGGGUGAGUAACACGUGGGAACGUGCCUUUAGGUUCGGAAUAACUCAGGGAAACUUGUUCUAAUACCGAAUGUGCCCUUCGGGGGAAAGAUUUAUCGCCUUUAGAGCGGCCCGCGUCUGAUUAGCUAGUUGGUGAGGUAAAGGCUCACCAAGGCUACGAUCAGUAGCUGGUCUGAGAGGAUGACCAGCCACAUUGGGACUGAGACACGGCCCAAACUCCUACGGGAGGCAGCAGUGGGGAAUCUUGCGCAAUGGGCGAAAGCCUGACGCAGCCAUGCCGCGUGGAUGAUGAAGGUCUUAGGAUUGUAAGAUCCUUUCACCGGUGAAGAUAAUGACUGUAGCCGGAGAAGAAGCCCCGGCUAACUUCGUGCCAGCCGCCGCAGUAAGAC